rnacentral:rRNA from 1 species
UACAGAGGGUGCGAGCGUUAAUCGGAAUUACUGGGCGUAAAGCGUGCGUAGGCGGCCAACUAAGUCGGAUGUGAAAUCCCCAAGCUUAACUUGGGAACUGCAUCCGAUACUGGAUGGCUUGAAUCCGGGAGAGGGAUGCAGAAUUCCAGGUGUAGCGGUGAAAUGCGUAGAUAUCUGGAGGAAUACCGGUGGCGAAGGCGGCAUCCUGGACCGGCAUUGACGCUGAUGUGCGAAAGCUAGGGGAGCAAACGGG